CAGUCUAUGAAAGACAGCAUAAAACUUAAUUAAUAUCAUUAAUCAAGUUAGACAUCAUAUGAAACCAUUCUCUUAAGACUCAAAGUAUGACAUAACAUACUAUAACAUCAACAACAUCUUGCAGCGGAAAGUAGCUAGACAUAUGUAUGAAGACAUAUUCUAGAUAGGUUAACUAUUUAUUAACAACCCUGGAGACUCCGCUCAUUGCAGCACCAUCAUCACAUCAGCUCAACCUGCACAUUUAGAAAACAUAUGCAGGGCUGAGUACAAAAGCACUCAGUGGGCACGUAUGCCUAGGUAUAAAAAUACAUGCUUCAAAACUAUAAAUUGUCAUGCCAUCAUAAUCAGUACAGCAAGGGAGUUUUUCGCUAAAAAGGCC
rnacentral:lncRNA from 1 species